ACAGGUUAAUAUUCCUGUACUUGGUGUUACUGCGAAGGGGGGACGGAGAAGGCUAUGUUAGCCGGGCGACGGUUGUCCCGGUUUAAGCAUGUAGGCUGGUUGUCCAGGCAAAUCCGGAUAAUCAAGGCUGAGGUGUGAUGACGAGGCACUACGGUGCUGAAGUAACAAAUGCCCUGCUUCCAGGAAAAGCCUCUAAGCAUCAGGUAACAUCAAAUCGUACCCCAAACCGACACAGGU
rnacentral:rRNA from 1 species